rnacentral:rRNA from 1 species
GACGAACGCUGGCGGCGUGCUUAACACAUGCAAGUCGAACGGAAAGGCCCUGCUUUUGUGGGGUGCUCGAGUGGCGAACGGGUGAGUAACACGUGAGUAACCUGCCCUUGACUUUGGGAUAACUUCAGGAAACUGGGGCUAAUACCGGAUAGGAGCUCCUGCUGCAUGGUGGGGGUUGGAAAGUUUCGGCGGUUGGGGAUGGACUCGCGGCUUAUCAGCUUGUUGGUGGGGUAGUGGCUUACCAAGGCUUUGACGGGUAGCCGGCCUGAGAGGGUGACCGGCCACAUUGGGACUGAGAUACGGCCCAAACUCCUACGGGAGGCAGCAGUGGGGAAUAUUGCACAAUGGGCGGAAGCCUGAUGCAGCAACGCCGCGUGCGGGAUGACGGCCUUCGGGUUGUAAACCGCUUUCGCCUGUGACGAUGCGUGAGUGACGGUAAUGGGUAAAGAAGCACCGGCUAACUACGUG